GGAGGAAAAGAAACUAACAAGGAUUCCCCUAGUAACUGCGAGUGAAGCGGGAAAAGCUCAAAUUUAAAAUCUGGCAGUCUUUGGCUGUCCGAGUUGUAGUCUGGAGAAGUGCUUUCCGUGCUGGACCGUGUACAAGUCUCUUGGAACAGAGCGUCAUAGAGGGUGAGAAUCCCGUCUUUGACACGGACUACCAGUGCUUUGUGAUGCGCUCUCAAAGAGUCGAGUUGUUUGGGAAUGCAGCUCAAAAUGGGUGGUGAAUUCCAUCUAAAGCUAAAUAUUGGCGAGAGACCGAUAGCGAACAAGUACCGUGAGGGAAAGAUGAAAAGCACUUUGGAAAGAGAGUUAAACAGUACGUGAAAUUGCUGAAAGGGAAACGCUUGAAGUCAGUCGCGUUGGCCAGGACUCAGCCUUGCUUUUUUGCUUGGUGCAUUUUCUGGUUGACGGGUCAGCAUCAGUUUUGAUUGUCGGAAAAAGGUUGGAGGAAUGUGGCACCUUCGGGUGUGUUAUAGCCUCUGGUCACAUACGACGGUUAGGACUGAGGAUAUCAGCACGCCUUUAUGGCCGGGGUUCGCCCACGUUCGUGCUUAGGAUGCUGGCAUAAUGGCUUUAAGCGACCCGUCUUGAAACACGGACCAAGGAGUCUAACAUACCUGCGAGUGUUUGGGUGGAAAACCCGAGCGCGUAAUGAAAGUGAAAGUUGAGAUCCCUGUUGUGGGGAGCAUCGACGCCCGGACCUGACGUUCUCUGAUGGAUCCGCGGUAGAGCAUGUAUGCUGGGACCCGAAAGAUGGUGAACUAUGCCUGAAUAGGGUGAAGCCAGAGGAAAC
rnacentral:rRNA from 1 species